UGAACCUGCAGGAGCUGCGGGGCAGGUGUUGCAGCUUGUGGGCGACCACAAGGAGGGGCAUGGCAAAUUUUGACCAUUGCCCAGAACCCUGCUGAUGAGCCCACUCUAGGAGCCCCAGUAGCCCAGGAGCUUGGGUGUGCUGACGAGCAGGGUGGCUUUUAUCCUAGAUCACCACUGGAUUGCUGACAGAUAGAGGAGGUGGGACCCUGACUAUCACCCCUAAUCUGCAGUGGAUUUGGCUCUCGGCACUCCCAGGCUGGGAGCUGGAUACCUGCCCUGGCAGCAUGGCUCAGACUGCAUGACAGAGAACGUGGCCAGUGGAGACGGCACACUGGAAAUCAGAGUGAAUGUUCUUGAAAGAGGGUCACGGGUCAACAAGGCCCAGCCAAAGGAUGCAGUAGAACCAUUUUCCUUAGAAAUCUUUGGGAGUGAAGUAGGCUUCAGCCACUCCCAUCCCUGCCCUUGCGGCUACCACUACCCCAUUAGUUUAGACAGGGUCGGGCGGGGAGGGGUGUGGAGAAGAAAUGAGCUUGCCUGUGGCCCCCAGGCUCCCUCUGUCCUAGCUCAGGUCUGGGUGCCAUUCUUUACACUCGUGUGCUCGCUCACGCACACAUCACACACCUUGCUGGUCACACAGUCACAGACUCGCCUCUGCUCCUGUGGUCCAGUGGCCGGACACCCCCUGGGAUGGCUCAAAGGAGUCAGGACUUGGAAUUGGGGACAUCAGGGUAGCUGAAGGAAAUCCACACACCCAGAGCAUCUCGGAGUUCAGACUCUCAGACCUGAAGUAGGCGCCCCCGGGACUGGGCUAGGAGUUGGACGGAAUGGAGGAUGGAGGACAGCGAGAAGAAAGGAAGAGAAAUGCAAAGUGUGGGCAGCCGCCAAGAGUGAAAAUAGAGGGAAGUGUCAUGCAAGUGCUGGACAGAAGGCGGCAGGUGGGACGAGCCCCACAGCCCCCUCCUCAAAAACGACCACCUCCAGGACUCAGUGAUCCCUGGGGGGCAGGCUCUGCCAGCCCUCGGCCACACGUGGCUCCGGCACCCAUGGUCCCAGUGCCUUGGAUGGAGACGGCCAGUUCUGGCGGCCAGAUGUGGUGCUCUGGAAUCCAGUCCCAUUUCCUUCCUGGCCACGCCUGUCCAGCGGCCUCUUUGGCUGCAUUCAGCCCCUACUUACCUGGGGACCCCGGCUGGGGCACAAGAGCACCAGGGGGGUAGGGCCCAAAGGGAUCAGGGGAAGCCUCUGGCCUGGAGGGUAUGGGGCACACUUCCCCAAGGGCGGACCCAGCAGGAGGAAGCCCAGGAGCUGGGUCCUGCCGCCCAGGAGCUGGGCCCUGCCACCCAGGCCGGGCUAGGGACAUGGCAGGGCCUGGGCAUCCUGGCGCUGGACUUGGGCGACCUGGGAGGCACAGGGAGGGGAGAGAUGGGCGGCCCCGCCCCAGCGCAGUGCCGGCCACACCCAUGCACCGAAGCUCCUCCCUGCCACACCCCAAGGCGGUUGCCGGAGCUUAAGCCCCGCCCCCAGCAGCGAGAACAUCCCACCCCCCACCCCCCUGCAGCCAGUGCUCCUUGUCAAGCUCCCCCCGUCACUCCAGGUGGGAGCCACCCCGGUGAGGGGGUGUGCCACUUGCCCCCAGGGCACUCCUCUGGGCAUCCCGGGUGGGGGAUUUUGGGGCCGUGGGGGGCAGUCUCUGGUACCUGUGUGCGUCAGGGAUGCUCUGCACCUGCAACCAGGUGUCGUCCACGGGCGGGGGCAUGGGCAUGGUGACAGUGGUCCUGUUGAUGUCACCGAUGAUGCUGAGCGCCUCCUUCAGCGCGUGGUGCAUGUGCAGCAUCUCGUCGUGCUGCUGUGCCUGCUCUGCCAACUCCUCCAUCAGUGUGUUCUGGUUCCCACAUGAGUACAUAUUGGCCAGCGGCUCCGAGAUGAUGAACUCCGGGGUCUGAGAGUGGGCAAACAGGGAAGAAGGUUGGGACCUGGUGCCUGUGCCGCCCUGGCUGCCUUGCUGGGCCCUUCUGGGACUGUGCGCUGGACUUGGAGCCCCUUGGAGUAUGGCUUUUCACACGGGCUUCUAUACCGCUUCGACUGGAAGAUCCACCUCCCCACUGCCUUUUCUCACUCAGAUGGGGACACCGAGGUCCAGAGGAAAAGACACCUGUCAAAUGUCACAGAUCUGGGAGGGGACUUAAGACCUAUCAUGCCA
rnacentral:lncRNA from 1 species